GAUGAACGCUGGCGGCGUGCCUAGCACAUGCAAGUCGAACGGAGAUUACGGACGGAAGUUUUCGGAUGGAAGCCUGUAAUUCUUAGUGGCGGACGGGUGAGUAACGCGUGGGCAACCUGCCCUAUACAGGGGGAUAGCAGCUGGAAACGGCUGGUAAGACCGCAUAAGUCGGUUAAAUCGCAUGAUUUGAUCGGGAAAUGAGCAAUCAGGUAUAGGAUGGGCCCGCGUCCGAUUAGCCAGUUGGCAGGGUAAAAGCCUACCAAAGCGACGAUCGGUAGCCGGACUGAGAGGUCGGACGGACACACUGGGACUGAGACACGGCCCAGACUCCUACGGGAGGCAGCAGUGGGGGAUAUUGCACAAUGGAGGAAACUCUGAUGCAGCGACGCCGCGUGAGUGAAGAAGUAUUUCGGUAUGUAAAGCUCUAUCAGCAGGGAAGAUGAUGACGGUACCUGACUAAGAAGCCCCGGCUAACUACGUG
rnacentral:rRNA from 1 species